AGAUGCGAUCAUACCAGCACUAAUGCACCGGAUCCCAUCAGAAUUCCGCAGUCAAGCUUGCUUGGGCGAGAGUAGUACUAGGAUGGGUGACCUCCCGGGAAGUCCUUGUGUUGCAUCCC
rnacentral:rRNA from 1 species